rnacentral:rRNA from 1 species
GAUGAACGCUGGCGGCGUGCUUAACACAUGCAAGUCGAACGAUGAAGCCCAGCUUGCUGGGUGUAUUAGUGGCGAACGGGUGAGUAACACGUGAGUAACCUGCCCUUGACUCUGGGAUAAGCCUGGGAAACUGGGUCUAAUACUGGAUAUGACUUCUCAUCGCAUGGUGGGGGGUGGGAAGAUUUAUUGGUCUUGGAUGGACUCGCGGCCUAUCAGCUUGUUGGUGAGGUAAUGGCUCACCAAGGCGACGACGGGUAGCCGGCCUGAGAGGGUGACCGGCCACACUGGGACUGAGACACGGCCCAGACUCCUACGGGAGGCAGCAGUGGGGAAUAUUGCACAAUGGGCGCAAGCCUGAUGCAGCGACGCCGCGUGAGGGAUGACGGCCUUCGGGUUGUAAACCUCUUUCAGUAGGGAAGAAGCGAGAGUGACGGUACCUGCAGAAGAAGCGCCGGCUAACUACGUG